GUAUGUUUUCUCAGGGAGUUAUCUGAAGAAUGAAGGUGUUUUGCUUUAAGGGAUAGGCUGGGGAUGGAGGAGCGGGUUGUGCAUAGUCAUUUUCAGGUGUGGAAGACAAGCCAGUGCUACGCGGUUGCCAUAGUAACCUGACGUCAUAUUAGCGACGGUGACGACUUUUUAUUGAGACCAAUUUGGCCUGGGGAGAACCGCCUUCAGGCGUUUGGACUCAGUGGAGGUUGUGAGUGCCCAGCAGUGUGGCCUGAAUCUCCGUGGGGUUUAGGGAGACGAAAGGACCCCAGAUCGACGUCCCCUCGUUCCCACUUUGGGGAUCGGCGCUCUGGCUGUUUCGUGAAGGAGAGAGAGGUUGAUUCCAUACCCUGGCUAUUGUGAAUAAUGCUGCAGUGAACAUGGGAGUACAUACAUCUGUUUGAGGAACUCAGAGUGGUUUUCCAGAUGGGAAUCACAUUGCUCUCUGUCCCUGAGAUCUUGCUGGAGACAGGGCUACUCAGUCCCUCUUUGCCAGAUUGAUACUGGAAAAGCAGUUUCUAUUGAGCCCCCAAAUGAAGAGUGAGUGCAGAUGAAGAGGAGGCAGGACUCACAAGCCCUUGAACUUUAUUCCAGAUCUGUUAGCACCUACAGGACCCUGCACCAGGAUUUCAUCUGUACUAUCAGCUUCUUCAAAGAGAGAGAGGUUGUUGAAUUGAUAUUGGAAAAGCAGUUUCCCAUUGAGUCUCAAAUGAAGAGAGUGCAGAUGAAGAGGAGCUCUUCAUGUGGAUGUCUGAGCUCAUAUCAGGUGUCUGAAAGAGGCAGAUUCUGAGGAUUUGGGUCAUGAUGGCUGCCAAAGCUUCUACUCCUGACUUAAAGGGCAACAAUCCUAGGAGACCACCAGCACUUACAUCCCUGGUAGGACAUGACACCUGCUUAUGGCUCAGAAGUGACAAAAGAGAAUUAUCAGGAUGGCAGUCCUUAUAACCAGAUGCUUAUCAACAUUCUUCACUACAUUCUGAAGAUGAAUUUCUACAAGGGAAAUUGUUUAUAUUUGUUGUUGGGGAUAGAUAAGGAAAGAAGAAAAAGGCUCUGGUGAGAAACCCAUUGUACCUUCUGGAUAUGAUCACUACCCAAUUUUAUCAGUGUCAUUGAUCACUAACCCAGUGCCUCGUAUGGUGCCAGGCACAGAGUUACUCCAAGAAUGUACAAUAAUGGCUGGAUUCUCUUUCUCCCUGUGCAACUCUUCAUGCAUGUGACUGAACUUAUAUUAAGUGUCUGAAGGAGGUUCGUUCUGAGGAUCUGGGACAUGAUGGGUGCUGAAGCUUCUACUCAAGAUUUGAAGGGCAGCUGUCCUCAGGAGACCCCUGGCACUUCCCUCCAUGGUGGGAUGUGAUGCCUGAUUCCAGUGAGUUCAUAGAGCUGAACAAAAGUACGUUGUGGAAUAGCUCCUGUGAGGUUCACAACAUAGUCCGGAAGAUGAGAAACUACUUUUUUUAGUAACCUGGAUUCCCAUCUAAGAGAUGCCUUACUUUAUCGUAAAGCAAUGAGUUGUUCACUUGAGGAGGGAACUUCAUGUUUAACAUGUAUUUGCAACAAAUUUACAUACAUUUUCUGCCUGUAUGAAUAGUUGUCAGUGAUGCCCAUGAAUUUCUCAGAUGGAUGUUGAAGUAUACAGUUAGAAGGUUAGAAGAUCUUCCUAGCAAUCUGUGAUUACGGUAUGCAUUCUUCCAUGGUUUCUACGUUUUUGUCUAUUCUAUAAUGAAAUUUUCUAAGAAGCCAGAAAUUAAUUAAGUGCUACCUAAAAAUAUCAAAAUGUCAGGUACAAGAAUUUGGCAUUUUCAAAAUUAGUAAUUACAAUGUAAGUUUGCCCUAUUAUAAUGAUACCCAGCUAUGUCCAGUAACAUAACUAGAUUGUUCUGAAUACCGUUAUUAUUUCCCAAUAAUACAAACAUCACAAUUUCAGUUCUGUAGUACCUGGCCUACCUACCCUUCCCACUGCCUUGCCCCAGGUAAACACAGCAUGCCUGUCACUAUACAUUAUUUUACAUGCCUGGAAAUAUAUUUAAAUGGAAUCAUAGAGGUGGUUUCUUUUUUUUUUUUUUAUCAACACCUGGCUUUUUUCAUUCACUCCACUUAUUUUUAUAUUUAUCCAUUUUAUUGCAUUUAUCUAUUGAUAUACUUCAUUCUUUUUGAUUGCUAAAUACUAUUGCGGUAUACAACCACACUAAACAUUUUAUUAUCCAUCCAUUUGUCGAUGGACAUUUUGGUUGUUUCUCAUUUGGGGCUCUUGUAAAUAAAGCUGCUAUGAACAUUUGUGAAUAAGUCUUUUUGUGAAAAUAUGCAUUCUCAUUCAAGGGUCAAUACUUAGGAGUUCAAUCUCUGGAUCAUGUGGUAGA
rnacentral:lncRNA from 1 species